UUGCACGCUGGCGGCAGGCCUAACCCAUGCAAGUCGCACGGUAACAGGGAUCAGCUUGCUGAUUCGCUGACGAGUGGCGGACGGGUGAGUAAUGUCUGGGAAACUGCCUGAUGGAGGGGGAUAACUACUGGAAACGGUAGCUAAUACCGCAUAACGUCGCAAGACCAAAGAGGGGGACCUUCGGGCCUCUUGCCAUCGGAUGUGCCCAGAUGGGAUUAGCUAGUAGGUGGGGUAACGGCUCACCUAGGCGACGAUCCCUAGCUGGUCUGAGAGGAUGACCAGCCACACUGGAACUGAGACACGGUCCAGACUCCUACGGGAGGCAGCAGUGGGGAAUAUUGCACAAUGGGCGCAAGCCUGAUGCAGCCAUGCCGCGUGUAUGAAGAAGGCCUUCGGGUUGUAAAGUACUUUCAGCGGGGAGGAAGGGAGUAAAGUUAAUACCUUUGCUCAUUGACGUUACCCGCAGAAGAAGCACCGGCUAACUCCGUG
rnacentral:rRNA from 1 species